GCUGCCGUAGCUCAGUCGGUAGAGUGCGUCCUUGGUAAGGACGAGGUCGUGGGUUCGAAUCCCACCGGUAGCU
rnacentral:tRNA from 2 species